rnacentral:lncRNA from 14 species
AAAGUUAAGAAGUUGUGAACUGAUUUGGGAUGUGACUUUACAAGUGUCUGAAAGUGAUAUUAUGCUGGCGAUUUCUAUGUGUUAUGAACUCUCAAACAACAGCUUGGCCUUCAUCAAACAGUGUAGGAUGGUUCAGGUUAUCUCAUUAACUUAAUUGGCUCCCCAGGACAUGUUUGUUUUUCCUCUGAAGUUACAGCAGCUUUCCAUGUCAUUAAUGAUGUCCUUGAUGUGGCUGACUGUGUUUCAGGGUUUUUGUACAGGCAAAGGCUGUUCUGCAGAGACUGUUGCAGACUGUAUCAAACCAAUACGGAUGAUGAACAAAACGGAUUGUACUUUGCUGGAAUUGCAUAUGGAGCCUGAGAAACUGUAGCAAAACAUUUCAGUGUGCUGUGGAAAUUGUCAGUGUCAUCAUUUCCACCUACAGAGAGGGUGAAACUGGACCAGUGAGUAAAAUUAUCAUAAAGGAAACUAAAACUUUGCUGUGGUUGAAGUCCUAUUUUAGAGAAUACCAGUCUCGAUAUGAAAUAAUUGCCAACAUUUAUGCCAGUUCAGAUCUCUGGCCAACUUGAAGGAGUUGUUCUUCAGUCCCCUUUCACCCCCAGUGUUUCAUUCCUUUUCUUUUGGGGACAUUAUUUCAGACCAGGAAAUAGGGCAGCAAAAGCAACUAGGAGAGAGAAUUCAUAAAGCAGAACAUCCUGAAAGUAAUGAUACUUUCUUGGUAACAAAACAUGUAACCUGAAGCUAUUACUCAGUGUCAUUCAAACAUCAAAUCACAGAAUCCCAAGUGUUGGAAGGGACCUCAAAAGAUCAUUUAGUCCAACCUCCCUGCAAGAGCAGAGUAACCUGGGGCAAACUGCUGAAGGGAAGCAAUGAUUUGAAGUCAAGGCAAAGGAUUAAAAGCCAUAAGAUUAUCUUUCUGUGCCUGCCUUCCUGCUUCCAUCAAUUACACGACAAGAAGUAUGGCCUUUCUGCUAUUCCUGACUGGUAAGACAUUUAAUUUGCUCUUUUCUGAUCUAAAUAUGUAGAUUCUGAUACUCUACCAUUAAUUAUGUCAUAAUGUGCUGGAUAUGCACGUAAUAAAGGGGGUAGAAGCAGAUAAUCUUUCCA